rnacentral:misc_RNA from 1 species
GAAUAUACACAGAAAUAAUAUAAUAAUUGUGUUAUACACAGAAAUACCGCCGUCGCUGAUUCUACCAUUCUAAGAAGAAAAAUUCAUUUUAUAAAAAUUCAUUUUAUAAUUAACGGAUAAUAAAACUAUGAUCAGGAACCCCACUCUCCCCAUUUCCUCCAUUUCUAAAAUUCACAUACAAGAAAUGAGCCAUCCCACCCUUCCAACAGGAAAAAAAAAUGAUGAAAUAAAAAUUAGAGAAAUUACAAAAAGUUAGGACAAUAAAAAUGACCCUAUCAUCUCCUAUUCACAUUAUAGUUAAAGCACGAGUAAAUCAAGACUCAAGCACCCAAAUCGAUUAUAUAUUUUCCCAUAAAUCGUUGCAUUUAAGCGCUAGGACAACCCAAAUCAAUGUAUACCUAUAUGUAAUGGGGAAGUUUUAAGCUGUGCAAUGCUCCUAUAAGAUGCAACAGAGAUUCAAAUUCCAUCUAGUCUUGAUCUAAAUUUCAUCCGUUAUAAACUGCUACAACCUUGAUCUCUUAGUCGUCACCAAGAAGUAGGGAUUUCUGAAGUUUUUCAAGAGCUCUGGGAUGUCGUAACGAAGCAUGUAAUCAACAGCUUGUAUCAUUCUAGGCUUUAACUUUUCAAAUUUGUCAAUGUUGUAACAACUCAAAACAGAUCUGAAGUGCUCAACAUUUGGGAAAUCACCUGGAGGUAAAUGGAACUUCCUUUGAACCUUUCCAAACUCAUCUGCCAAAUUAUCAAUAAGUCGCUGUUGAGCCUUUGCUUUGCCCAUAAUGGCCGGCAUCUCCUUUUUAAGAUGACUAAUAAUAUAAGCAUGUAUCUUGGCAGCUCUAGCUCGUUUCACAAAUUCGUUGAUCUGUAAGGAAGUAAUGUAAUCAGAGACAUGUCCAACAGCCAUCCCCAAGGAGAAAGUUUUAUUUCCUAGAAAAUUGAUUCUGAAGAAGAUGGUUUGACCAAGUUAAAUGAUUCAGACACAAUGCAACUUCAGCCUCAUUCCACAAAUGUUUAUUCCUAGCACAUAGUGUACACAUGAUAUAUGGAUUAUUUGCUGUUCAAUGUAUAAAAAAUGCAUACUUGUACUUUUCAAAAUCAUAAACAUUGAUGAAAAAUAUUAAAUUCUAACAGAAACAAAAACAAUAAACUCACUCGGCGAUCACAAGCCUUCUUUGGUAUAUCUUUUAGAUCAGACAGAAGGUCGUCCUGUUCUUUCUCAAAAAGUUCUUUCCCAAUUGGACCAACAGCAGCUUCAUUUACUGGUUUAUCAUUGAAUGAGCCAAUAUAAACACGCACGACUUCAGGAGUAUUUAGAACUUUCCCAAGUGACCACAUUAGUGCGCCAUAAACUCUCUUUAGUUGUUGAGUAUCAAUUUGGUCUGCUUUGUUGAGAACCACCCGAAUCUUAUCAUCAUGACCACGUAAAGAUGAUAUCACACGCUUGAACUCAUCACUGACAUCAAGUUUGUGAGGAUCAAACAGAAGCAGAAUGAGAUCACACUUUGCAGCAAACCAUGAAGUUACACCGGUAAAAUCAUAAGCACGUUGUGUUCGUUGCUUUUCCCCUGAUAAAACUCCAGGUGUGUCCACAAAUGUAAUAUGCUCCAGCAAAGGAUGAGGCAUUUGAGAACAUUCCAAUUUUGACAAAAAUGCAUUUCCAAAAGUUGCGAGUCCAUUAAAGGGCAAAUCUGUUUGGACUGCCACCGUGUUGCCCGGUAUACUCCUUUCAUCAGUACCAGACUGUACAAAGCGCAACUAGCAUGUAAACACCAUUGCUAAAAAAUAACAAGAAUGAUUAUGAGAUACUAAGUGGAUUGUUUAAGAAAAAAAAAGAAGAGAUGGCAACUGCGAUAUGCAUUAGUUGUCCUAGUGCAACUAGUUGACUUGAGUCUGACAUCUCAGUAGAUUUUAAGUGUAAGUGGAUUUUCUAAAUACCAUAACAACAACAAAUCUGUCAGUUGUUGGCUCGGGUCCAAUAUGAGCUCCAGGAUAACCACUUUUAAGUAAAUGUUUGAUGAAUGUUGUUUUUCCAGUGGAAUAUUGACCCAACAGCAUGACCAUUGGUUUGGCAUCAAAAUCACUGUUUUUCAACAGUGGAGAUACAAAAUCAUUAAAACGAUAAGUAACUUCUAAUGGCUUCAGCUUCUGAAUGUACAAUCUCUUUAAGCCAUCAAUGAUGGAUGUAACAGAGGAUAGAGGUACCUAAGAAGAUACCAUAAAUUUUGAGCACAGAAAAAGGUAAAAAGAUUUCAAGUAGAAACCAAUAAAAAAGGCACUUAUAACUUAAAAGGCAAAUAAAAGAAAACAAUGCAACACCAGACUUGUGCAUGUAUAAGGAACUUAGCAUCAUCAGGCCAAGGAGUAAUGAUUAAGUGUGCAAACUUGUCCUCUGAAAUUAAAAGGAAAUUAAAUCAAAUUUGCAGGUUCAGAAAAUUUAUUUAUUAUGAUAAUGAAAGAAAUUCAUUUGAGUAUGGUAAUGGAAUGUUCUGAGACCAGGUAUGCAAACAUAUCUACAGCGUAUGGCCACCUAAUGUUACAUAACAGAGGGAGUAAACAUAUAUCAUCUUAUAAUAAAUCACCAGUUUUAGAGUGUAAAAGCAUUAAAUGCAUGACAACUACAACCAACCAGUAAUAUGGUAGUGGAUUGGCCAAGAAUAUCUGCAAGCAAAACACUAAAGAAGCGAACUUGCAAAAUUUUCAGCUAGUCCUGAAUGAAAUCACUUGCAGUUCUAUAGAAUAAGAACUCCAAGGUGCAUAAAAAACACAAUAAAAAGAAAAGAAAUUGUUGAAUAAAAUUGAAAGUGACUUUGAAAAUGCUGGAUUGUAAAACCAAGUAUUUCAUCUUGGUCCUACACAUUCCUUAUCUGACUACUCCAAAGUGAAGCUAGCCACUCCAGACCAUCAACUAACUCUUAAGGAUGAUGAUUCAAAUCUUCUACACAAAUUGUGUAGUUUUUAGCUCCCCAAUCUAAUUUAUGAACAGUACAACCAGAAGUGAACCAUGUAAAAUUUUUACACAAGUUCAAGAAACACUAACAAAGUCAUAACAACAAGUAUGACACUUGAUGAUCUCCAAUUAAGCACUUCUUACGCAAUCUGAAGCCUUUAAGAAAAGAUAAACUCCAAGUAUUAUUUGGCAGUACCAUUAUAAUUAUCACCAGCAGUGCAAUGAUAAUCCAUGUAAUGAAACAUAAAAAACUUCAAAAACUUCCACCAGAAAAAAAAACACUUAACUAACUGGACAAGACUGCCUUGGUAGCAAAUAUACAAAAAUAGCUCUAGAAAUUACUGUUGUUACAGGACAUAUUUAGACAAUUCAUAGUUAGAAUGCAUAUGAGGGGAAAAAAGAGAUUGCUUGCAUUAUAAACUACAAAGGAGGAAAAGAAAAAAAACUAAUUGUUUAGAACCUAAGUACCAAUUUCAGUUUACAACACGA